rnacentral:misc_RNA from 1 species
AGAACCGCAACGAAUCGCACGUCACCGGGACACAAACUCGAACGAUGCGGCGCUCAACUGCAGCGCGCUCGGGCAGCUUCAUGGGGUGCUCUGCCUCGCCAUGGGCACGAUGGGCGGCGAAGGUGCAGCACCGCUGCAAAGCCUCGUCAUCCUCGACGUCGGCCACCAGAUCCCGCCCACACAACAACCUUCGCUCCAGCACGGUGGAGUCGACACCGUUCCAUGUGAAGCCCAACAUGUGUGUGCCUGUGUGGCAGCCCAGCGCCAAGUUCAUGAAGUACACGCCAGUCCGCUGGCUGUCAAACAACCUGUUCGCCAUCGCGACGUAUCAGCUGACGCUGGAGGUAGGCUUUACAGUUAUCUUUGGCAGUCUGCUGUAUGCGGACAAGAUGACUGCCCAAGGUGUGUGCGACGCGCUUGCGGCGUACCACUACCCCUUCGUCAACUGGAUCGACGUCGAGGGCGGUGUGUACACGGAGCCAGUGCGUGUGGGGCCUUUCACGCUAAACGCGCAGAAGAUGACGGCGCUGCACACGGGCCACAAUAUUGCCAGCGGUAUUCUGCCGGUGCAGGUGCUGCUGCUCGUGACAACGUUUGUGCCGGUGCAGCAUGCCUAUCGACUCUUGCGACACGCAGCACCGGCCACAACCAGUGCGUUGCACCCCGCUAGUGGUGUCGGAGGUGUCAAUGCAGCUGCAGCAGCUGCGGCAACGACGGCGCCACCCACCUCCGUGUCGGCAGGGGCACGGCGUGCGUCGUAUGCGCGCGCCACCAACGCAAAGAAGGCCUCGCCGGCCUGGCCCUAUUAUUGACACAAGCAGCUCGUCAUGAUGGCAGCACGCACAGAGACAUACUCGCUGACGCCGCCCAAAGUGCACGUCUGCUCCGGCACCUACGCAGAGGCAUUACAUGCGCACCACCACGCACGUGGUUUUGCUCCUCUUUCCGCACGUGUGUGGCACGGGCUACUUCUGAGGGUGCCUUUAGCGAUGCUGCGUCUCUUUCGCCGCUGAUGCCGUCGUUGCUGGCAGGGAUGAGGGCGGGGCACACCCCCUCCCCUCCUUCAUCCCCCAUCACGCGCGCACAAAUUAACACCCACGCAUGCGGCAGAGGAUGAU